rnacentral:rRNA from 1 species
CAGCCGCCGCGGGAAUACGGAGGGGGCUAGCGUUGUUCGGAAUUACUGGGCGUAAAGCGCACGUAGGCGGCUUGGUAAGUUAGAGGUGAAAGCCUGGAGCUCAACUCCAGAAUUGCCUUUAAGACUGCCGAGCUAGUAGGUGAGAGAGGUAAGUGGAAUCCCGAGUGUAGAGGUGAAAUUCGUAGAUAUUCGGAGGAACACCGAUGGCGAAGGCAAUCCCCUGGACCUGUACUGACGCUCAUGCACGAAAGCGUGGGGAGCAAACAGGAUUAGAUACCCCAGUAGUCCCUGUCUCUUAUAC